rnacentral:lncRNA from 1 species
GUUGGACAUGACUGAGUGACUUCACUACAUAAAUAUUGAGGAUACUGUUUCCUGUCUGGGUUUCAGGAGUGGACGUGAAGAAGGACCAAAGACCCUUGAUACAUCAUUGUUUCAACCACAAAAGGACUGAAGGACACAGCAUUAAAAGAAGAGAGGAGGGAAGAGCAAUAACAAAAAGCAGGUGAGCAUUCCAAACAGAAACAAGUCAGG